rnacentral:rRNA from 1 species
UACGGAGGGAGCUAGCGUUGUUCGGAAUUACUGGGCGUAAAGCGUGCGUAGACGGUUAUUUAAGUCGGGUGUGAAAGCCCCGGGCUCAACCUGGGAAUUGCAUUCGAGACUGAAUAGCUAGGGUACGGUAGAGGGAAGUGGAAUUUCCGGUGUAGCGGUGAAAUGCGUAGAUAUCGGAAGGAACAUCAGUGGCGAAAGCGACUUCCUGGACCAGUACCGACGUUCAGGCACGAAAGCGUGGGGAGCAAACAGG